GAGCUUAUCUAAGUUUACUUCCUGGAUUAUGCUGAAUUCAGAUUUCUACUCGGAUUUUGCAAAUUUUUAGUAUAUAGAUACAAUGACAGUCAGAGAUUUUAUGCUAAAUGGGCAUGUGAUGCUUGGAUGUGUCCCUUCAAACCAAGUCCACGUUUAAAAUUUGCUGAAUAGCGACAUUGUUUGGGAAAAAUACUCUGGCAGAAAAGAGUCUAAACUGUGGAUAGACAUCAGAGUCAGACAUCUGUCUGUUUAUUUCCAUAAGUGAAGUUUGUAUCAACUGACUGAAGGAUCAGUGUUAAAGGAUAACACUACAAUGAAAACAGCUGUGAGUUGUUUCUUUUGAAAAUGACUGCUUGAUGAUAAAGUUUCAAACAACUAUGAAGUGAGUGGAUGUUCUAGAGAGACUAAUUCUUCGAAGAAUGAAUGAUCAUCAUCAUCCUUAUAUUAAAAUAAAAGGAAGGAAGUGACAGCUACAGUCAUGGUAAAAGUAAAUGCAGUCAGAAGACCUCUGAUAUCACCUGAAGAGCCAGCCUUCUCACGAUUCUGUAUCAAAUAAAAAUAACAAGGACUGCUAAAAAGACUUUUUAUAACUUGCAAAUGUGCAGUCUGUGACAUAACUGUCUGAUCCAGGUAGUUUAGUGUUGACAAGAUGACAUUUCAUCUCUAUAGUAGAGGACACAAGUUCGAAAUGCAGUAUGUCAUUGUGAAGGCAAAAUGUUUAUGAAAAUAGUGUGUGUGUUUUCCAAAUAGAGAGGCUGAAAGUGUGGAAUCAUCAAUUAGUGUUUUUGGAAUAAGUUAUGGACAUCUGAAUAGUGAAGAUCUGUCCCUUUUUUGGAUUGCCACAGACCAAAAUAAUGAUUGGUGCCUUUGACAUAAAUAGAAGAACUCACACUGGACACCCUGAAGAUGGAAUUAUGUUGUUUGCAUUAAUGUUUCUUUUUCAGAUUUAUGGAAAAAAAUUAGAAUGUCAUUUCUUAAAAAUGUUGAUAGUUGUUUAACCAAAGACGCUGUAAUUGAAA